GGAGACACUUCUCAUAGUCUUCCCAAGGAAGCAAACACUCGACGGGCAUGGCAGAUGUUUAUAAGGAGAUCCCUGUGAACUUUUUCCCCAAAGACAGUUUUCAAAACUUUGGACAAUUUAAAGCUGGAUUUGCUACACUGCUGUUGCUGUUCCGACUGUAUGGUCAUCCCAAUCACAAGCUAGUACAUCACAAGAACGACGAGACACGAAAGAUGCAGCUUGCCAAACAGAUGCUCCGAGUGCGGCAUCUCGGGGGACACAACUGUCUCAUAUGACAUAAGACCUCACAUAUCUACAAGCCACAACGGAAGACAGCCAAGGGGAAACUAAUGUACAGACGUCUGUUUCCAAAGGCCAAAAGGGGGGGUUACACCGUCAAAGAACUGAAGACAGAGCCAACAAUUUG